GACGAACGCUGGCGGCGUGCCUAAUACAUGCAAGUUGAGCGCUGAAGGUUGGUACUUGUACCAACUGGAUGAGCAGCGAACGGGUGAGUAACGCGUGGGGAAUCUGCCUUUGAGCGGGGGACAACAUUUGGAAACGAAGGCUAAUACCGCAUAAAAACUUUAAACACAAGUUUUAAGUUUGAAAGAUGCAAUUGCAUCACUCAAAGAUGAUCCCGCGUUGUAUUAGCUAGUUGGUGAGGUAAAGGCUCACCAAGGCGAUGAUACAUAGCCGACCUGAGAGGGUGAUCGGCCACAUUGGGACUGAGACACGGCCCAAACUCCUACGGGAGGCAGCAGUAGGGAAUCUUCGGCAAUGGACGAAAGUCUGACCGAGCAACGCCGCGUGAGUGAAGAAGGUUUUCGGAUCGUAAAACUCUGUUGGUAGAGAAGAACGUUGGUGAGAGUGGAAAGCUCAUCAAGUGACGGUAACUACCCAGAAAGGGACGGCUAACUACGU
rnacentral:rRNA from 1 species